UUUCAUCUUGACAGUCCGAGAAUUACGAAGGCUGAUGAAAUAGCAAUGUUUGAUCAUCAUUUACAGGAUGUAAAUGAGGUGUUUCCCUUUGUUGGCAGAGUUCCAAGCUUUGACCAGAAAUAGGGCAUCCCUGCUGUUUAACUCUGCAGCUGUACGUGUGGGCCAAUCAAUAAAAAAGUCUUACAGUGUC